GCUGGCUCAGUAAGUAGAGCAUGUGACUCUUGAUCUCAAGGAUGUGGGUUCAAGCCCCACAUCCAGCU
rnacentral:tRNA from 1 species